rnacentral:rRNA from 1 species
GGGUGCCGAAGUGAAAACGUGAAACGUGCCCGCCUGAGAAGUACGGUCGCAAGGCUGAAACUAAAGGAAUGGGCGGGGGAGCACCACAACGGGUGGAGCCCGCGGUUAAUUGGACUCAACGCCGGGCAGCUCACCGGAUAGGACAGCGGAAUGAUAGCCGGGCUGAAGACCUUGCUUGACCAGCUGAGAGGAGGUGCAUGGCCGUCGUCAGUUCGUACUGUGAAGCAUCCUGUUUAGUCAGGCAACGAGCGAGACCCACGCCAACAGUUGCUAGCAUGUUCUCCGGAAUGAUAAAAAACACUGUUGGGACCGCCUCUGCUAAAGAGGAGGAAGGAAUGGGCAACGGUAGGUCAGCAUGCCCCGAAUUAUCCGGGCUACACGCGGGCUACAAUGGUCAGGACAAUGGGAAACGGCACUGAAAAGUGUAGUCAAUCUCCUAAACCUGUCCCAAGUUCGGAUUGUGGGCUGCAACUCGCCCACAUGAAGCUGGAAUCCGUAGUAAUCGCGUUUCAAAAUAGCGCGGUGAAUAAGUCCCUGCCCCUUGCACACACCGUAAUCUAGAUGCACCGCGAGGUGCCAGGCUCGA